UGUGUUACAUAAUAGGUAGGAUUUUUGGUUCUGUCUCAACAUUCAGCUUUUAAUUUUUUUUCUGCACCUAACAGUGCAAUUCUUAAACAUUUGUGUUCUGAUUUUUUUCUCACAAUAUCUGCUCUUAGACGACUUUCUUAUUUUCUCCUUUAGAACUUCUGAGGUGCUGCCUGCUCUUGUUUAAGUUGGCACAUUGGCACAUUAUAGCAUUCUAAUCAAGCUCCUUUGUAGAUUUAGAGUCUCUGACAUCAUUCAGUCCCCUUACUCCAGAAACUGAGGCUCCAAGUCGUGGUUCUUCUUUUGACCUCAACUCCCUUGGAUAACAGUAAGGCACUGCCUACCUUCUAAACAGAACUUUUAAUUUUGAUGUACCAAAGUGUUCUCUCUGCAUCCACAACUGCAGGCCAGAAGAGGACAUCAGAUCUCAUUAUAGAUGGCUAUGAGCCACCAUGCAGUUGCUGGGAAUUGAAUUCAGGACCUUUGGAAGAGCAGACAGUGUUCUUAACCUUUGAGCCAUCUCUCAAGUCCAUAGAAAAGCUUUUUAAAUAAUACUCAAUAUAUGUCACUUAAUUCUUCAGUGACAAACUUUUUCAAAGCAUACUAUUGUACCAUGAAUGCCAUAGGAAACAACCUUGCUGACCGUGUAAACUGUCUUCUCUUCGCAACUGCAAAUAAAAUUAAGAGAAAUAUUUUUAGUUGUGAGCUCAAUGAACCUUGGAGGAGGAAGGAUUGAAGCAGCCGGAGAGGUCAAGGACACCACAGGAAAACCUACAGAAUCAACUAACAUGGGCCCGUAGAGACUUAUAGAGACUGAACCACCAAACAGAGAGCAUGCAGUCUUCAUGUGGGUCUCCCUAACAGCAGGAACAAGGGCUGUCUCUGACUCAGUUGCCUGCUCCUGGAUCGUUUUCCCCUAACUGGACCACCUUGUCUAGCUUCAAUAGAAGAAGAAGAAGCACCUGGUGUUGGGAUCAGUAAGCAGGCACUUCUACAGGCAGCCCCAAGGGACCUGACAGACCAGUUAUCAGACAUUUGUGAAGACACCCAGACCACCUACUGACCACCUGGAACUACCUGUGCAUGCCCUGGGUCACCCUAUAAGAGAAUUGGAGCCCUCCCCUUGCUCUCUCUCUUACUCUCUUCUCUUCUCUUUCUCUCCUCCUCUCUCUCUCUACAACCCCCCUUCCCCUAAUAAACUUCCCACGUGGAA